GAAAACGCCGUGGAAAUAGUUAACGGAGACUUCACGUGGGACAAGGAACAGCUGAUUCCCACACUCAGAGACAUCAACAUCGCCAUAAAACCCGGAAGUCUGGUAGCAGUCGUGGGAACUGUGGGUUGUGGGAAAUCCUCUCUGCUCACCGCUAUAUUGGGAGAAAUGGAAAAACUGAAGGGCAAGGUCACAAUAAAGAGUUCCAUAGCCUACGUCCCACAAGAAGCUUGGAUCCAGAAUGCAACACUCAAGGACAACAUUUUAUUUGGGGCGGACUUUCAACGCAGACGAUAUGACAAAGUUGUCGAGGCAUGCGCACUGAAGGCAGAUUUAGAAAUCCUUCCGGGAGGGGACGCUACUGAAAUCGGAG
rnacentral:sRNA from 1 species